GGCAUAGACAUGAGCAAUAUUAUUACGAGUUCUCGUAGGAGAAAUGCAUCUAGUUUUAUACCCCUGCCAGUGCCUAAAAUUGAAGCUGAUAGUGACAGCGAUGAUGAUGAUGAUGAUGAUGAUGAUGAUGAUGAUGAUGAUGAUGAUGAUGAUGAUGAUGAUGAUGAUGAUGAUGAUGAUGAUGAUGAUGAUGAUGAUGAUGAUGAUGGUGAAGAGGAGAAUGUGGAGGGUGGAGAUAAAGGUGACGACGACGAUGCAGAAGCUGGAGAUGGAUCUGCUGAUGGUAUGAUUCAAUUCAAUAGUUUGUAACAUUUGAAUUUACUGUCAACAGCAUUGCUAUUUACAACUUUCUUUACUGUUGUAUUGAGGAGAAGCAUCAAUUGUUGUCUACAUUAACUUUUUUGCGAUGAAGUUUGAAAAAAUUGAACUUUGAAAGAUAUGAACCUGGCAGGCAGCACUAGGUGGGGUUUUAAAUGUUUUUAUCACUUUUGCACCUAUAUUUAUCUUCUUUUGUAUCCUGCAAAUCAAG
rnacentral:lncRNA from 1 species